GUGCCAGCCGCCGGGUAAUACCGGCAGCCCGAGUGAUGGCCGACAUUAUUGGGCCUAAAGCGUCCGUAGCUGGCCGAACAAGUCCGUCGGGAAAUCCACCUGCCCAACAGGUGGGCGUCCGGCGGAAACUGUGUGGCUUGGACCCGGAAGGCUCAGAGGGUACGUCCGGGGUAGGAGUGAAAUCCCGUAAUCCCGGACGGACCACCGAUGGCGAAAGCACUCUGAGAAGACGGCUUCGACAGUGAGGGACGAAAGCUAGGGUCUCAAACCGGAUUAGAUACCCUUGUAGUCC
rnacentral:rRNA from 1 species